rnacentral:lncRNA from 1 species
CUCAGCCCAAAAUCUCCUCAAGCUGAUAAGCAACUUCAGCAAAAUCUCAGAAUACAAAAUCAAUGUACAAAAUUACAUUAAUUAGUGUGUCAGGGCCUCAUCUAAAUCAUUUAAUGUUUCUCUUAAGUUGAAAAUAAUUUCAGUUCUGGCAUGAUAAGAUCUUCUUGCAUGUACAUGUCUAUGUGUGCAAAAUAUUUUAAGUGACUAAAUCCUUUAGGAAACAAAGUUGAAUAUGACGAAAUAGAGACAUAGCACUGUGGUUUGAAUGUAUUUUCCUUCAAAAACUUAUGUUGAAAUUUUAUUGCCAUUGUUAGAGUAUUAAGAGGUGGAAUUUUAGAGAGGUAAUUAGGCCAUGAGGCCUCCACCCUCAUGGGUAGGAUUAAUGACAUUAUAAAAAGGGAAGUUUGGCCCCAUUUUGCCUCUUUGCCUAUCUGCCUUCUGCCAUGUGAUGAUGCAGCAAGAAGGCCCUGACCAGAUGCUGAUGCCUUGAUUCUGGACUUCCCAGUCCCCAGAACUUUGAGAAAAUAACUUUCAGUUCUUUACAAAUUACCCAGUCUCAUGUGUUCUGUUGUAAAUGCACAACAUGGACUAAGACAUAUAGACACACAGAUAGGCAGAUAUAACACGCAUUUUAUUAGCAUAAAAUAUUCUUUGGAAAAGCAUUCGACUCCCCAGAAGGAUAAAAGCUUGCAUAUAACUCUAAUAUGUUGCAACAUAUCCUGAGGAAUAAAUAGAAGUUCAUUGCAUUGGACCAGAGUUUAGAAAGCAAAAACAUAGGCCAGGCGUGGUGGCUCAUGCCUGUAAUCCCAGCACUUUGGGAGGCUGAGGUGGAUGGAUCAUGAGGUCAGGAGUUCAAGAUCAGCCUGGCCAAGAUGGUGAAAUCCUGCCUCUACUAAAAAUACAAAAAAUUAGCCAGCCUGGUGUUGGGCGCCUGUAAUCCCAGCUACUCGGGAGGCUGAGGCAGAGAAUUGCUUGAACCAGGGAGGUGGAGGUUGCAGUGAGCUGAGAUCGUGAAACUGCAUUCCAGCCUGGGUGACAGAGCAAAACUCCAUCUCAAAAAAGAAAGAAAGGAAGGAAGGAAGGAAGGAAGGAAAGAAAGAAAAUAACAUAUAUUCUUUAAUUCUCAAAUAUUGUACAUAGCUCCAAAAUAUUAUUAUACAAAAUAAAUUUUUAGACUAUAUCAAGGGCUCCAUACUAAUAAUCAACAAUAAGAUCAUCUGUGUUUGAAUACCUUAUCUUUUACAAGAAAUUAUUUCUAUAAUUCUUCUUUAUUAAAAUGAUUAAUCACAAGUACUAAGGUAGUUUGAAUACCUUAUCUUUUACAAGAAAUUAUUUAUAUAAUUCUUUAUUAAAAUGAUUAAUCACAAGUACUAAGAAUACACAUAGAAAAAUUGGUCAUUCGCCUUUUAUUAUGCUGCCUCUGUUUUAUGUCAGCCAUGUACCCAGUUGUUGGCAUUAACUGAUGCAAGACAGUAGGUCUCGGUUCAAACAGUCUCAGUGCUAACCUUUCAAUACAAAUAUUUUCUCACACCUUCUUUAUCUUAAAAUGAGAAUUGCCUACUCAUUUAUUCAGAAAAAAUUGAUAUAAUGCUUUAACUGUAAUGCAAAGGAUAAAAUAAUGUGAUUUUUAAUACUACAAUAUAGGGUUCAAUACGUAAAUGUUCAGUCUCAACUAACCUAGAGACGUACUCAAGUAACUAAAUUGUUAUGCUAUUUUAAAAUGAAUAAAUUCAAAUUUAAGAGAAGUUAGAAGAUGAGAAGCCAUUCCAUACAAGCAAACUUGUAACUUAAAGCAAAACUAUUGUUAAGAUAAGUGAUAAUGGGUGGGUAGCAAUUUUUAUUAUACAUAAUUUUCUGUACAAAUGUCUAGGAGGAUAUUAGAAUGUCUUGCAGAACUCUCAAAAAUUCUUCCUUAUGAAGGAUUAUUUUGUGUAUGACUUUUAGCAUCUUUCACCUUCCCCUACCCUUGCUUACUAAUGCCUGUAAUUCUAUCAAAUCAUCAAAACAGUUUUUUUAAAAAAAGAAAAGCUUCUUCAAAUUUCUGAAAGGGUUAUUCUGCUUUUGCUGAGAUUCAUUGAUCUAAACUAGUCAAGGUUAAUUUAAUCCCUUAUAAAGGGGAAUUAAAUCAAGCAUCCCAGUCUAAAUCCAUGGGUAUGUGAAUUCUCAUGCCACAAGGAUGAUGGUGCUGAGUCAGUGCUAUCUUCAGAAUUUUGUUAGCCUGCUCUCUCUUCUUCUGAUUGGCCAGUAUAUGUAGCCUGGAACAAAUGCAGACAGUUUGCUAUCAUUAAUGAAGGCAUUCUAAAUUUGAAGCACAUUCACAUGAUAACAGAUUAAAAAAUAUUGCAAAAAAACCAGAUAUAAAGUCAAAUAUGCCUGAUCUACCCUACCUAUAAUAAUCUUGAUUCUUGAGAAAAAAAUUCUUUAUCAUUUAAACUUGUUGGAGUUUGGUUUUCAGUCAUUUUCAGUCAUCCUCACUGAUACUGAAAAUAUUAUUUUACAGUCCAAAAUCAUGGUUAUUAACCAAGUUCAGAUCACAUUAAUGAUUUUUGGGUAAACUUCCGAGCUCAUAAUUGUCUACAUCAUCAUCUUAUUGUUAUCAACCCCUUAUAUCUAAAGAACAAUCUAUUCUUCUUAUCAGUUAUUCUUACCAUAUUAAUUUGAUGUGCCUUUUCCCAUUUUAUACUAAAUUAAAGUUGUUGGUAAAGUUUAGUGUUAAUUCUUUAUUAACAAAUGCUGUCAUUCUGGUAGUAAUAGCGUAUUAUAGCUUCAUAGUGCUUUAUAGGUUAUAGAUCACUUGAAUAUGCAGUAGCUCAUUUAAACUUCAUAAAUUUUAUAUGUGGUAUCAUCUAAUUAUUAGUAACUAGAAACAGGGUCAUAAAAGUUAAUUUUCUGGAUCAAUGUCACACUGCUGGAUAAGAAGCAAUUCUCCUGAUUCUGAGUUCUGUAAUCUUUCCACAGUUGCUCCACUGAGUCUGCUGUUCCUGUAGCUUUUUCCCCUAAUGUGUUCCCUAAAGGGUAUUAAAACCUGCUUGAUAUUUCAUGCCCCUCUUCCAGAGAUCUUUUAAGUGAGCUGAUUGGCUUUAACAACAUUUCUUUCCCCAUUAUCUUUAGUAAUCCAUCUAUAUUGUUCUAUCAUGCUACUUUUGCCUUCCAUCUGAGGGAAAGAGCUUACACAGAAGAUUUGCACUAAGAUAUGUGGAAAAACAAGAUGCCUAGUGAGCUAUUCCUUAUUGAUCAACUUUUUUUCUUAUAAUCAUAAUUUCUCCAUCAGUAAUAUAAUUUUAGCACUUCAUAUUCUACUUCUUUUUCAACACAUGAAACACCUCCUAACAGAAGUAGAUGAUAUGGAUAUUUAAUGUUUGGCAAAAGAAGAAAUAAGCAAUAAACAAAAAGGCAAAUCUAUUCCCAUGACUCAGUUUUUUAAGCUCCAGAUUAAAAAGGUUAAACUACAUUAUUUUAUAGCAAUGUCAUAGGUCUCUGGGGAAGACCAAUGGCUGUGAUAAAGUAUUAUGUUUCUGAAGUUUGGAAAUAUAUUUAGGCCAACCAAUAAUGCAAUAAUAAAAAGUGAAAAUAAAGACAUCUAAAAUCUAUUCUUUUUUUUUUUUUUUUUUUUUUUUUUGAGACAGUCUCACUCUGUCGCCCAGGCUGGAGUACAGUGGUGCGAACUUGGGUCACUGCAACCUCCACCUCCGGGAUUCAAGCGAUUCUCCUACCUCAGCCUCCUGAGUAGCUGGGAUUACAGGCACCCACCACCAUGCCCAGCUAAUUUUUGUAUUUUUAGUAGAGACUAGGGUUCUUCCAUGUUGGCCAGGCUAGUCUCGAACUCCUGACCUCAGGUGAUCUGCCCACCUCGGCUUCCUAAGGUGCUGGGAUUGCAGACAUGAGCCACUGUGCCUGCCCUCAAAAUAUUCUUAAUUAAAGGAAGGUCUGCUCUGGUCCAGCAUCACCUGUACCUCUGACUAGCUGUUUCAGACCACCCAAUUCUGGGAUAAC